UCGCUGUGAUGAAGUUUUUUCCUCCCAUUCGUAGUUUCCACCAGAGGUUGAAAGACCAAAGAUGGCCCAACACCUUCCUUGGAUGUCUGAGCGA
ensembl:snoRNA SNORD14 Small nucleolar RNA SNORD14